GAUGAACGCUGGCGGCGUGCCUAACACAUGCAAGUCGACCUGAGCGACGAACGGGUGAGUAACACGUGGGUAACCUGCCCUUGACUUUGGGAUAACUCCGGGAAACCGGGGCUAAUACCGGAUAGUCAGGGAUGGGCCCGCGGCCUAUCAGCUUGUUGGUGGGGUGAUGGCCUACCAAGGCGACGACGGGUAGCCGGCCUGAGAGGGUGUUCGGCCACACUGGGACUGAAACACGGCCCAGACUCCUACGGGAGGCAGCAGUGGGGAGUCUUGCACAAUGGGCGCAAGCCUGAUGCAGCGACGCCGCGUGCGGGAUGACGGCCUUCGGGUUGUAAACCGCUUUCAGCAGGGACGCGGUACCUGCAGAAGAAGCCCCGGCCAACUACGUGCCAGCAGCCGCGGUAAUACGUAGGGGGCGAGCGUUGUCCGGAUCUAUUGGGCGUAAAGAGCUCGUAGGGGCUGGUCAAGUCGGGUGUGAAAUCCCAAGGCUCAACCUUGGGUCUGCAUUCGAUACUGGUUGGCUUGAGCCUGGUAGGGGGACCUGGAAUUCCUGGUGUAGCGGUGGAAUGCGCAGAUAUC
rnacentral:rRNA from 1 species